rnacentral:rRNA from 1 species
AUUCCAGCUCCAAUAGUGUAUACUAAAGUUGUUGCAGUUAAAAAGCUCGUAGUUGGAUUUCUGGUAGGACAGAUCCGGCCUUUGGAUGAAUGUCCAUUGUAUGCUGUGUGUCUUGUCUGGCCAUCCUUUAUGUCUUUUAGGCGUAAUCUUUCACUGUAAAAAAAUUAGGGUGUUUCAAGCAAAAGUUAUUUGGAAUAUAUUAGUAUGGGAUGAUAAGAUAGGCUCUUGAGUGCUACUUUGUUGGUUUAUACACUUAGAGAAUGAUUAACAGGGACAGUUGGGGGUAUUCAUAUUUACAUGUCAGAGGUGAAAUUCUUGGAUUUUGGAAAGAUGAACUACUGCGAAGGCAUUUACCAAGGAUGUUUUCAUUA